UACGAAGGGGGCUAGCGUUGCUCGGAAUCACUGGGCGUAAAGCGCACGUAGGCGGACUCUUAAGUCGGUGGUGAAAUCCUGGAGCUCAACUCCAGAACUGCCUUCGAUACUGAGAGUCUCGAGUCCGGGAGAGGUGAGUGGAACUGCGAGUGUAGAGGUGAAAUUCGUAGAUAUUCGCAAGAACACCAGUGGCGAAGGCGGCUGACUGGCCCGGUUCUGACGCUG
rnacentral:rRNA from 1 species